GGGGUGGACAUAUUGGAGUUU
rnacentral:misc_RNA from 1 species